rnacentral:rRNA from 1 species
AGUUUGAUCCUGGCUCAGGAUGAACGCUGGCGGCGUGCUUAACACAUGCAAGUCGAGCGAAGCGUAUUAGCGGAAGUUUUCGGAUGGAAGCGGAUAUGACUUAGCGGCGGACGGGUGAGUAACGCGUGGAUAACCUGCCUCAUACAGGGGGAUAACAGUUAGAAAUGACUGCUAAUACCGCAUAAGCGCACAGGACCGCAUGGUCCGGUGUGAAAAACUCCGGUGGUAUGGGAUGGAUCCGCGUCUGAUUAGCUGGUUGGUGAGGUAACGGCCCACCAAGGCGACGAUCAGUAGCCGACCUGAGAGGGUGGCCGGCCACAUUGGGACUGAGACACGGCCCAAACUCCUAUGGGAGGCAGCAGUGGGGAAUAUUGCACAAUGGGGGAAACCCUGAUGCAGCAACGCCGCGUGAGUGAAGAAGUAUUUCGGUAUGUAAAGCUCUAUCAGCAGGGAAGAAGAAAGACGGUACCUGACUAAGAAGCCCCGGCUAACUACGUG